rnacentral:lncRNA from 1 species
GGCCAGGGAGCCGCAGGCAAGGGACUAAGGGGAGGGGGGCUCAGUGCCAGCUGCUUAAAAAUGCCCCUGUGGCAGCGAGGGGCACCAGAGGCUGGGUCUAAUUAGUUGAGAAGCAGUGACACCCCCAACCACUCCCCAAACAGGCUGGCUCCCGUCUCCAGGCCCCAAGGAGCCACACCUGGACCAGACCCCAGGAAAGGCAAGGGCGCUAGCUGGUGGGAGCCACCCCGCCAUGCUGAUGUCAGAGAAGCAAGAACUCUGGAGAAGCAGCCUCCUGGGACCAGAGGAGGGCCAGCAGCAGGCAGCCCGGAGACAGAACUCUCACCCACGCCUCUCCAAGCCUCCCAACAGAAGACAGAGGUCCCCCACAGCCAGAGACAUUUCCUGAAGACAUGGGGAACACAGAGGCAGAAACAGCCCAUCCACCCAGGAGCUGUCCCCCACACUGCCGGGAGCCGGCACCCAGAGCCGCCAGGUAAAACUGAGGCCACCUGGUUCAACAUCACCUUUCACAGAAGGGGAAGCAGCCACAGAAAGAAGGGCCUCGUUAAGAAGUGGAACCUGGGACCCCCAAGCGGUGUCUCUCAUCCUGACUGGGGAUCCAGAGUAGGAGGGAGCCUUUGGUGGGGUUGGAGUCCCGCCACAGGCCACCAGAGCGGAGCAGCGCAGCGCCCUGUCUCCCAGCCUGAGGUGCAGUGCUGCAUCUCUGGUCAGUUGGGAGUCUGAGAUGAAGCACUGUAGCUCAGGAAGAGAGAAGUUGUUCUGCAGCCAUCAGCCUGGAAGUGGCUGGAUGUGGGAACUUCAGCACUGCCGUACUCUUGGGAAAUUUGUCCAAGGCCACCCGGCUGAGCAGCGGUUGAACCAGGACACCAUCAGGCAUGCGUUUCUUGUCUCCACCACACCCUCAACCCACUUCCCAACGCGCCUUGCGACAGGGGCUGCGGUAUUGCAUCCACAUGACUGAUAAACUAGUAAACACACAUGAAUUCAUUUUAAAAGUGUAUUCAAUCAGUUAGGUAAACUAAAAACCUUAAGUCUUCGUUCGAUUUGGAAUGCAGCCAGAGAACAAAUGGAAAAUUUUUCAAGGUAGAGAAGAUGAAAACUCAGAACGCCCUCUUGUGGCAUCUCUACCCACCCUAGGAACACUAUGGCUCUUCCCCUACACAUGGUGAUUGCUAACCUUGCUACAAGACGUUGGACACACACACACACACACACACACACACACACACACUGAGGUUCCUUUUGCCCCCUCACUUUUGAGCCAGUGACUACUGAAACCCUCUCCAUUGUUGCACCACCAGCAAUGCCCCCAUCACUUCCUCUCAUUUACUUCCACAGGCUGGUUCAUCCUCAAAGCCCUCCUUACGUAGAUCUGUGGGAUCAGUGAGGCUCAGAGAGGUAAAGUGGCCAGCCCAAGGUCGCCCAGACAGCAAAAGGCAGGGCCAGCGCUGAUUUCAAGUCCAAUGGCCUAUGGCAAUUUCUUAGCCAAAAGCAAAAUCUACAAAAAUAAAAAGUCAGGCACAGUGGUGAGUGCCUACAGUCCCAGCUACUGAGGAGGCCGACGGGGGAGGACCACUUGAGCUUGGGAGUUCCUGGCUGCAGAGAGCUAUGAUUGUGCCUGUGAAUAGCCAAUGCACUCCAGCCUGAGCAAGAUAGGGAGACCCUGUCUCUAAAAAAUACCUAAAUAAUUUUAAAAGUCAGCCUCUCUGACUGCCUAUAGAGAAUGCUAACUAACUGAAUGACAGAAGACCUAAUGUAAUCCAGGUGCAAAAUCAGAACUUUCCGGCCGGGCGCGGUGGCUCACACCUGUAAUCCCAACACUUUGGGAGGCCCAGGCGGGUGGAUCACGAGGUCAGGAGUUCAAGACCGGCCUGCCCAACAUGGCAAAACCCCGUCUCUACUAAAAAUACAAAAAAUUAGCUGGGCAUGGUGGUGGCCACCUAUAAUCUCAGCUACUCAGGAGGCUGAGGCAGGAGAAUUGCUUGGACCCGGGAGGCAGAGGUUGCAGUGAGCUGAGAUCGCGCCACUGCACUCCAGCGUGGGGGACAAAAGCGAAACUCUGUCUCAAAAAAAAAAAAAUUAGAACUUUCCCCGUACUCUUGCUAGGGCUUUUCAUGGAGAUGUAGAAAUGGUAGUAAGUGCCAAGGCCCCAGAACCCUCAUGUUUGGGUCCGACUCCCACAUUGCCAGAGACUAGGCAGCUCACACAGGUGUCCCAAGCUGUCUUUCUCACAGGCCGCAUUGAAGGCAUUUAUGAAAUGAGACCCCCUCUUCCUCAUCCGUAGUGACAGGGCUGGCCUGACCGUGGAGAAAUCAGAUUUGAUCAUGAUAGCUUCCACUCCGUGACUGGUCACGAUCUGCCAGGCGCUGUGCUAAACACUUUCAUAGGCCUUGUCCCCCUCCAUCCUGAUAACACCCCAGUGAAGCAGGCCCUGCUCUUCACUCCACUCCACAAAGCCAAGGCUGAGAGAGGUUAACAGACUUACCUAAGGUCACACAGCUAAGAAGUCGUGAAGCUGGGAUCGAAUCAAGUCUGUGUUUAUGGGUUUAACUAUCAUGUUGUGGCCCCAACCCCAUUUGACCUAGCCUGGCUGGUGGGCCUUCUUGCAGUAGCUUCCCCUGGAGAAGAGGAAAAGCAAACCUUCAUUGAGACCCAAGCGGUCUCUCCUGUGCUCUGUGACAAUAAUAAAGUUCCAGCCCUUGG